GGCUUCGUAGCUCAGCUGGUAGAGCAUGCGCGUACAAAGCGUAGGCGGUGACCAUGCGUGGGUUCGAAUCCCACCGAGGCUA
rnacentral:tRNA from 1 species